UAGGUUUUUGAAAGUUAUUUUAAGCGAGGACACCAUAGAAAUGAAUACGUUCUCUCUUAAUUUACUUUUUUUUUAUAUACAUAGAUAUAUCAUGCAUACCUUCAAUAAAUACCUGCCUGUGGCUAUUUACAUAUGGAUUUUGGGCUCCUCUCUCAAUUGUGCAGAUUUUGGAGACAUUUUUUAUAAAGUUUAUGUCAAUCUAACAAUGAGUGGAAGCAUCACAGACCCUCAACACACUAUACAGCAAUGGCUUCAGCAAACACUGGGAAAAUGCAACAUGCACAUUUGGAAUCUUGUGAUAAAAGGAGCUCCUAAUAAGUUAAAUGGGGCAACUGACAGAGCAGCGUGGGAUCAUCCGAACAUGAGCAAGUGUAUAAGGACGGUUUCAGAUUUUGAUGAUUUGGAAAAUAUCAUAGUUAUACAGCUGAAUUCUUUCUAUUACUGACCUUAUGGGAGACAGGAUGGUGUUCGAGGGAGAUGCUCAUAACAUGACAGCACCUUCAUUAGCACUUCAACUGAUGAACCCUGACACCUCUCAGUUCCACAGCCUCACAUUCGAGGUGUCCUCCUUACUGAAUGAUAGCACCCCUGAGGUAAGAGACAAAGAGAG